CAGUAGCCGCGGUAAUACGAAGGGUGCAAGCGUUAAUCGGAAUUACUGGGCGUAAAGCAUGCGUAGGCGGUGAGUUAAGUCUGCUGUGAAAUCCCCGGGCUCAACCUGGGAAUGGCAGUGGAUACUGGCUCGCUAGAGUGUGUCAGAGGAUGGUGGAAUUCCCGGUGUAGCGGUGAAAUGCGUAGGGAUCGGGAGGAACAUCAGUGGCGAAGGCGGCCAUCUGGAACAACACUGACGCUGAGGCACGAAAGCGUGGGGAGCAAACAGGAUUAGAUACCCCGGUAGUCCCUGUCUCUUAUAA
rnacentral:rRNA from 1 species